UGACAAUGCAUAUAACAUGUAACUACAGCUACAGUUUAUCUAUACUCUAUACCAACUAUAGGAAUCUAGACACAUUGGUUGACUUUUGGUAUCAAUAUGUGAAUUCUGUAAAACUGUAUAAAUUAAUGCUAUAAUAAUUUAUCUAUACCAUCCAGAAGAAUCCAGGUACUUUGAUUGACUGCAAAAUAUAGCAAGACCACAGCUGGAAAACAUGAUAAGUCACAUUUCCUGUCUUUCAUUGAACAGUACGUUUAAAAUUCAAUAUCUUGUCAAACAAUUCUAAGUCAGAACUAUAUAUAUAUAUAUAUACACACAUAUAUAUAUAUUCAUUUGAUUUUAGAAUUAAAUAUAUAUUUUUGUCACUCAAAGCCAAACAAUCAGUAAAAAUGGACUUAUCAUAUUUUUCCUACAUGAUCUUCAUAUAAAUUGAUUGCAAAUGAAUAAUUAGAAAUAGUUAUAAAUAUAUAUAGAUAUAUUCAGUAGAAUAAUUAUAAAUUAAAAUUAUAUAUUAGCUUCAACAAUAAUAUUUUACUAUUUACUAUACACAUUAUUUACUGUUUAAAUAUCACUGCUUGCAUUCCAGUAGGAACUCUUUUCUAUUAAUUUAGAAAAAUCUUGUUAAUCUGACUUAUAAUUUAAAAAUUGAAGAAUCUGAAUAUCUUAAAUGUCUUAUGUAUUUUUAUGUAUUAUGUUUUGCAUUUUCCAUAAAUGUAGAAACAUCUAUCUAAUCAUAAAUAACAAAAUAACCGUAGAAAGUUUACAUAUAAGUUUCUAAAAAUUAAUUCGAUCGUUAUAUUACGCUUAAGUUAAUAAGUUAAUCUUAAGUAAGCUUAAGUUCAUGUACCUAUAAUGAUUACAAGUAAUCUUUUGCCCAGAAAUAUAAGUGUCAAUAGUAGCAAUAUCAUAAUAAUGAAAUAAUAGCAAAAUUAAUGUUACAAUUGUGUUACUCAUGAAAUAUUUAAAUAGUAACAAAUUCAAAAUAAAGAUUUCUUAUUCCACUUUUUCCAAGAAUAAGAACAAAUUGAUGAGAUAUAAUAUGACAAAAGUAUUUCACAAAUCAUUAUAUUUAUUCAUAUAUAUGAUUUAGAGGAUUACAAACCAUGGUAGCAAUAAGUCAAUUGAAGAAUCUAUAUUUCUUUUAAUUGGAAGCAUUAAACCAUUUAUCACUUGAUCCGGCCAAUGGCUAGUGUUUCGUUUGCACAUCAUUCGAUGAUAUCUCCUCUUUUUCUUAUUUUUGUUAAGCGCUUAACUAAUAUAUAUCUUGUGCUUCGUGGGUAACCAUAACACGCUUCUUCGUUAUUAUUAUUGUUAUUAUUAUUACAUUGAAAGUAAUGUUAUGAAAAAUAAAUCUUAAAUUUCUGCUAAAUUCGUUUUCGUAAUCGUUUUGAAUGGCUACGAAAGAACGUAAUGUACAAGAUUUAAAUAGAGUACUAUGUACUACGAUAAUCGAUAUUCAUUUAAGGUAUAAAAAUUAGUUAUGGUAUUCAGGCCGCUUAGAAUCCAAUCAAAUUAAUGGGUAUCGAGCACCAAAAUCGGUUGUUGUAAAGCAUAUUUUGUAGAAUCUACCUACAAAGUUUCUUAUUUUAAACGAGUAAUAAAAUGUGUUAUCAUCUUGUUUCGUUUUUCUCUUCGUAAAUGUUCUAAUACAUUCCAAAACGAGAUUUCAAUCUUAUAUAAUGUUCUUUGUUAUCAAAAAACGCAUAAAAAAUUAUAGUACAUUAUAUAUGUAGAUAUGAUAAUACAUUAUGACGCCGUUACUGACGUAAUGCAGUUUUUUUUUUACAGUUAUCAAUUAAAUGCUAAUCCCUCACUUUAUAAAUCCGAGAGAACGAUGUAACCAAACAUCAACAUCGUUUACACAUUUUGUUCUGGUAUUUUCUACUACAGAAAAAUCCGUAAACAUUAAACACGAUGAUCAGCUUAUUCGAGCAACUCUGUAGACAGAUUCUCGCUUCAACAUCGAAAAUACAUCAUUCGAUACGUACAGAAAAAGUAGCUUAUAAAUUAUUCUUCGAAUACACGCUUUUCUUGUAAUACAAUACAAUUGCUAAUAGUAUAAUCAUAUAUAUACGGUAUAUAUAUACAUUCAAUAUAUAUAUAUACACAAUAUAUAUAUGCGUUUGUGUGUAUGCAUAGUCGAAAUGUAAUAUUCGCAGUAGGAAUUUUCUAACAUUUCGACCAUGUGUGUAUAUUCGCUAUAGUAAAUAUAGAUAAAAUUGUAAUGCCAAAUAGUAUGGCCUGUGAACACUUGGGUAGUUUGAAGUUUCUCGGUGAGCGGCCAACAAGUCACUCUAAACACUUAUUCUUUACACUAUCUCUUUCAAAUCUUUACUAUUGUGUAUCGUGUGUACGUCAAAACCAAUAUAUUAGCUUUCGAUAAUAUAUAAAUAUUUCCAUAACAAAUAGAUAUUUAAAUAAAUUGCAGUACAAUGUCACACUGAAUAGCAUAUAAACAUGAGCAUUAAAUACGAAAUAUGUUUUGGUAGCGGAAAAUCAACAUUUCGCAGUAACAUUGUUACCAUGGUAACUUGCUUUUGUGUUACAUUUUUUCGUUAAUUACACAAAACUAUACAGGAGUUUACUUCCUCCCUUUUUUCUCUAAGGCAUUCAAGUGUUUAAAUUAAUUUUCAUAGAAUGAAGAAACAAGAGCUUCUACAAAUGGUAUUCGUAUGUUCAAAGUUUGGAAUAUAAGUUGCAGAGCUUCAAACUCACAUUUCUUUAGGAACUUUCAAUUGUACAAAUACAAUUCCGUUGCAGUAUUACAUAAACGUUUUUUUUCUAUGACUAUCGUGCAGAUGCGUUAUUGUUUACAUUAUUGCCAUGGAAACGUUAUUACUGCUGAAAAUAUUUUUGUAAAUGAACAAUCGGAUAUAGAAUUUUGAGCGGCGGAGCAGUUGUGGCAGCUGUGAACCUUCGUUAUUUAAAUCUAUCUGUCUUUUAUAUGUUCUUUCUUUCUUUCCUUUUUUUCUUGAAUUAAUUACACUUAAGCAUGCGUACACCGCAAUAUUAUUACACGCGCCAUGUACGGACUUUUAAAU